CUCAAGCUGCAUCCCUCCCGUUCUGUUGCACUUAAGUCCAGAUUAGCUCUGACCAUCCCUGCACGCACGCGGAGAGCGACACAACACCGCGGUGCCUAAGACCAUAGAAACUGCCACAGAGGUGGGGGCAGAGAUCGUCUUCAAGGUUGCUGUCAUCUGGAAUUUUAUGUCCUUCAUUUUCUUUCACUCUGUAUGCCUGUCACAUCGGCUUAACUCCCUUGGAGACACAGACCUUCUUUCUUUAUACGGACUUUGAGUUCCUAAUGCAGUGGAGUCCUACUUCUCAGCUGAAUCCUAUGUGUCAAUUUGAGAGAUCAAAACGCUCAUACACAAUGGAGCUGCAAGGAGACAAAUGAAGAUGGGUUUUCCAGACUCUUCCAGCCUGGUUUUCUGUUGAGUAGCAGUGGGGCAUCAACAAAUUUGGCUACAAUACAGAGACCAGAGAAGACCUCGUUUGCCAUAAAGCUUGCCUGAUUUCUUCCAGCCGUAUUAGCUGAUUAAAAAAAGAAAGGACUUCUUACAGUCCUGGGCAGUACUCUGCAAGUCAUCUUGAAGAUCAGAAAGGCUGUGGAGCUUUCUGGGAAGAAUCUUUCUUUUGUUUUUAUUUCUGCACUCCAAGCCAUGUAAUUAAUACUGCACAAGCACAGAUACGUGUAACUCUUACAAGUGACUAUUUAUCAGAAUUGAUGCCAAAAAUGCAACCUAUUGUGAUUUGUGUUUUUAAGCUGCAUAGCAGAGACUGAUCAGCAUUGCAUCAGCAGUCUAGAGGCAAACUCCUGUGCUUAUACAGGCAAAUUACAGGUCUGGAUGAACACCAAGAGCAAGCUCUUCAUUCCUUCAGCAUUUUCUGUACUGCCAGGUCUGGUUCUAUAAAAUAUGACCUUCAAAUGGAAGAGGGUCCUAAUCCUAAUUCUGAGUUACAUGUGCCUAAUUUCAAAGCUUUAUGCUUGGGCACUAGCCACAGUGAGACAGAUACUGCGUGUUGCUCACUCUUCCUCCUUUUCACACACUUUUCUUGCCAAGGUGCAGUUGUAGAAAACAGCUUUAGAAAGCAGUAGUUUGAGAUACUGUAUCCCUGUUUCCCCCAGUAAAGCAU